GAAGGAGGUUGGCGAAAUUUGGAUGGGGGCAGGGUAGAAUCUGGGAGAAAUCUCUGCAUCUCAGCCCUCAGCGACAACAUUCAGCCAGUGCCCACAGAAAAACUAAAUUCGGAACCUCUUCCUCCUGUUACACUGGCAACAAAGAGGGAGUUUCCGUAGCGCUCCCGUCACCCACCAGGUGCCCAAUCUCCUUCCCAGCCCAGAGUCGGCGCUCCCGCAGGGGCCUCCGAGUGCGGGGAGGCCGCGGGGCCCGGGUCACGGCACUAAGGGGGGAUGGGGUGCAAGCGAGCAAGCGAGGUCUGCGGAGCGGGCCGUGGAAGGGCUCCGGGACCCGCUGAAACCAUCUGAACCCAGCCAGGGGGCAGCGGGCAAGAGAAAAGGGGCAGAAUAUCUAAUGAAGCAGAAACUGGAAUUCGGUGGGAGAGGUGAAGAGCCCUUGCUGGGGGUACACCUGCGAGGAGCACAGAAAACGGGCGGCGGAUGGCGAGGAGACUCCACGGAGGUGGAAGAGAGGAGCCAGGCCCGGAAGAACAGGGAAGGGGAUGCCACCUGGGGCAGAGGAGGCGCCAGUGCAGCCUCUACCUGCCGGCGGGCGGGACGGGCCGCUCAGGUGUGACUGGGAGGAGGGGGCCGACUGGGGAAGGGGCCGGGAAGAGCUGAGGGCGCACUAGGGGCCGCGCAGAAGCGCCUGCGAGUCGGCAGCCGCGGAGCCAGCGCACGGGCAUCGGCGGGACCCGGAGGACGGAAAGGCGGAGUGGGGGUCUUUGGACUGCACGACUAUAAUUUCAUGUGUGUGAAAUUCAAGGGGAAAAAGGAAACAAUACAUAAUCCAGUCUGUAGCUUCUCAUGGAUCGUGCAAAGCACCACCAGGACAGACAUCUCAAGCACAUUUGAAGAGCUCCUGUUUCCUAAGUAAGACAGCAGCAGCAAGACUGCAAUCAUUUCUGGGAAGGCAGUAUCAUCAUAAUGCAAUAUUAGCUACUGUGAUCUUCUAUCAUUUCCUUCCUGGAGAGUUAUGACUGUGGCAUUGAAGAUUUAAGACCUACAGCCUGAACACUACUUACUACAAAUCUCUCACAAAGCUGCUGCAAGAAAUCUUGUGGAGGAAAGUCAUUGCAUAAAAAAAUCCUCAACUCCAGGGAGUUGGCCAUUUAUUUUCCUAGAAAAGGGGCUGUGAUGAGAGACACUCCAUGCUCCUUUAACUCCAUGGAACAGAACCCAACAAAACAUUCAUCAUGGAAAGUUGACUGAUGGGCCCAAUGAGACUAGCUGGGGAAGGAAGAUGGAAAGAGAAGUGCCCCAUCCAAGGCCUGCUCCUUUUCCUAGCUGCAGCCCGGAGGGAUUUCCUCUUAGCCUGAGUAUUGACUUUCCAUAGAAUCAGCACCACUGAGGGUAAGCUUCCCUGAAGACAAACUCUGUCAUUGGAGAGCUCAACCAGGGGUCUAAAACUGGACCCUAUGGACUCCACAGAUUUAUUUAGUCUGCACAGUGUUUAAAAAUGUUUUUAGUUAGGGCCAGGUAUGGUGGCUCCCACCUGUAAUCCCAGCACUUUGAGAGACCGAGGUGGGUGGAUCACCUAAGGUCAGGAGUUUGAGACCAGCCUGGCUAACAUGGCAAAACCCAGUCUCUACUAAAAAUAAAAAAAUUAGCUGGGCAUGGUGGCUCAGGCCUGUAAUCUCAGAUACUCGGGAGGCUGAGGCACAAGAAUCACUUGAACCUGGGAGGCGGAGGUUGCAGUGAGCCAAGAUCGCGCCAUUGCACUCCAGCUUGGGUGACAAGAGUGAAACUCCAUCUCAAAAAAAAAAAAAAAGUUUUUAGUUAGUUCCCAACAUAAAAAAUUAACAAUUUUGCAAAGAAAGAUAAAAUCCAGAUUUUGGGCUCCCCUAAACAAAUUGGGAUAGCUGAAAACAGUGGGCCACAUUCCUACAUUCCCGCCCCUGCUGACAGUAUGUGCCUGCUCUAAUUUUACUUCCCCUUUUACCCUAACUGCCCUGUAGGGAAUGGAGUUUGCAAUCCCCAUACUAAUCCAUCACCCUGCAGGUCCAUUCCCCUCCUCCCUGACCUCUGUUCUGAUAAGGGGUGAGAGAAUGAACCCCCAUAUGUAUUGAAUGGAAAAUACAUGUAUUGGCCAGGCACAGUGGCUCACACUUGGAAUCCCAGCACUUUGGGAGGCCAAGACGGGCAGAUCACCUGAGGUCAGGAGUUCAAGACCAGCCUGGCCAAUAUGGCGAAACCGUGUUUCUACUAAAAAUAAUUAAAAAACAAAAUUAGCCAGACAUGAUGGCAGGCACCUAUAAUCCCAACUACUCAGGAGGCUGGGGCAGGAGAAUCGUUUGAACCCAGGAGGCGGAGGCUGCAGUGAGCCAAGAUUGCACCAUGGCACUCCAGCCUGGGCAACAAGACUGAAACUCCAUCUCAAAAAAAAAUAAAAAUAAAAAUACAUGUAUUGAUGAGAAAAUACAACUGACUAAUCCCACCUAAACCAUGACCUCAUAUAAAUUCAGAAGAUCUUUCUAACAUGGCAGGGAGGCAGCCUAGUAUAAAGCAAAGAGCACAUGCUUUGCGAAUGUAAACCAAAAAAAAAAGUUGAAGGCCCUCCUCACCACAUGAAUGGUCUCCUUCCUUUGCCAGGGCACCCUAAAAUUUAACUGGUUGAGGCCAUGAUGGGUAGUAGGGGUUGGACAUGCCUCAUUAUACCCUUCCAGCAGUAACAUCAACACAGACUUUAAGUCUGAUAAGAAACAUUUACAGUCUAUUUUCUCUAAAGCCUGCUAUUUGGAGGUAUAAAACCUAGGUCUCCACAACCCCUAUUGUAACCCAGCCAUUUCUUUCUACUGAUAAUAAGUCUUUCAACCAAUUGCCAAUCAGAAUAUGUUUAAAUCUUCCUAUGAACUAGAAGCACCCCACUCUUUGAGUUUUCCAACUCUUCCAGAUUGAACCAAUGUAAAUGGUUCAAUUGAUUGAUGUGUUAUAUCUCCCUAAAGUGUAUAAAAGGAAGCUGUACCUCAACCAUCUUGGGCACGCGUCUUCAGGAACUCCUGAGUCUGUGUCACAGGUGUGUCCUUAACCUUGGCAAAGUAAACUUUCCAUUACUUAUAAUGGCAAAAACUGCAAUUACUUUUGCACCAACCUAAUAAAUGGAUUGAGACUUGCCUCAGAUACUUAUUGGUUUAUACCUAGAGGCAGACCUUGGCUCACAUCCCAUCUCUCCCUUACUCUGGGAUAUUGUCCAACUUGCUCAGCCUCUUGAAAUCUACUUUGCUUACAGCAAAAUGGGUAUAACGGGAUCUUUCACCCAAGCCUUUUGUGAGGACUAAAUGUGGUAAUGGACAUUAAGUGCCAAACCCCUUGAAUGUGCCAUCUUCUCUCAGCUUCUAUAAUGUCAUGCUGUCAGUUCCCUCCUUUUCUUUUUUUCUUUUUUUUUUUUUUUGAGACAGAGUCUUGCUCUGUUGCCCAGGCUGGAGUGCAGUGGCACGAUCUCGGCUCACUGCAAGCUCCGCCUCCCGGGUUCACGCCAUUCUCCUGCCUCAGCCUUCCGAGUAGCUGGGACUACAGGCGUCCAUCACCGCGCCUGGCUAAUUGUUUUUGUAUUUUUCGUAGAGACUGGGUUUCACAGUGGUCUCGAUCUCCUGACCUCGUGGUCCGCCCGCCUGGGCCUCCCAAAGUGCUGGGAUUACAGGUGUGAGCCACCGCGCCCAGCCUAGUUCCCUCCUUUUCAUGGCUUCUUUGCUUCAUCUUUUCUGUCUCCUUUGAAGGUAUGCCUUCCUGGAAUAUACCAUAAAUGUCAGUGUUCCUCAGGAUUCUAUCUUGACCUGACUCCCCCCACCCCACUGCUAGCUUUUCCCUCUGUCUAAUGCUGGUACAGAUACAUAAACUGAUAGGUAGAUUACAACACAAUUCGAUUUUCUGUUUUGCUUUUUUUUUUUUUUUGCUUAUUAUUACAUAAACUUUUUUUCAUUGCUGCCAUACAUUCUUCAAAAUAAACACUUCGGGGGGCGAGCUGGCCCAGCACUUUGGGAGGCCAAGGAGGUGGAUCACUUGAGGUCAGGAGUUCGAGACCAGCCUGACCAACAUGGUGAAACCCCCAUCUCUACUAAAAAUACAAAAAUUAGCCGGGUGUUGGGGCAAGCACCUGUAAUCUCAACUGCUCGGGAGGCUGAGGCAUGAAAAUCACUUGAACCCACGAGGCAGAGGUUGCAGUGAGCCAAUAUAGUACCACUGUACUCCAGCCUGGGCAACAGAGCUGCGAGACCUUGUCUCAAACAAAACAAAACAAAACAAAAUAAACACUUCAUGGCUGAACAAUAUGCCAUUUCCUGAAUAGAUUGUAAUUUACCUAAUCAUUUCUCUAAUAGUGGACACUUAGGUUGUUCUAAUUUUGAAAGGCAGGAAUACCAAGAAUGUUUUCUUGCACAUGGCAGAUUAUUUCUCAGUAUAGGCUCAUCCUUUCGAGUAUAUGGCAUCUUUUCUUCUUUCCCUCCUCUCUCUCCUCAGAAGUACUCAAGGCCCCGGAGAUACUUGGGCUGUAUCCCCACCAAUCUCAUCUUGAAUUGUAGCUCCCAUGAUUCCCAUGUAUCCUGGGAGGGACCCAGUGGGAGGUAAUUGAAUCAUGGGGGCAGGUCUUUCCCGUGCUGUUCUAGAGAUAGUGAAUGAGUCUCACAAGAUCUGAUGGUUUUAUAAAGGGCGGUUCCCCUACACAAGUUCUCUCUUGCCUGCCACUUUGCUCCUCAUUUGCUUUCUGCCAUGACUGUGAGCCCUCCCCAGCCAUGUGCAACUGUGAGUCAAUUAAACCUCUUUUCUUAAUAAAUUACCCAGUCUCUGGUAUGUCUGUAUUAGCAGUGUGAGACAGACUAAUACAGCCCUUAUGUGUCCAGAAGUACUGACUUUCUUGGAUGAUACACCUUAAGUAAAGCCUAAUAAAGCUUUAGUGACUGAUACAUUUUUUAAAAUGAAGUAAUUAUUUAUGUGUAAUGAGACAAAUUAUUUAUUUCAGAGUGUUAUUUGCCUUACUCUCUUCCCCCAGCAAAAGGAGUCCUCAAGUGGCCAGCCACAUUUUCUCAUUUCUCCUUUCUUCAAAAACUGAUGGGAUCUUGCUUGAUGAAGAGAAGUCACAUAACAAGUGAAUACAGCAAAGAGAGAGGGAAGGGGAAGGAAAUAGCUGUUGGGAAUGGAGUGUUGUUGGAUGAGCUUUGUGAAGUGUGGGAAGAGAAAGAUACUAGAGGAGACCGAGACAAAUGGAUAGGUGAAGAAACAGAAUUUUAGUAAGUGGUGCUGUAUGCUAUAUAUGUGGAUUUGCCUCAAAGUUUUAAAAAAUGGCAAGCAGAAA